GGGGCACGGGAGAGAAAACAGGGGCACGGGAGAGAAAACAGGGGCACGGGAGAGAAAACAGGGGCGCGGGAGAGAAAACAGGGGCGCGGGAGAGAAAACAGGGGCGCGGGAGAGAAAACAGGGGCGCGGGAGAGAAAACAGGGGCGCGGGAGAGAAAACAGGGGCGCGGGAGAGAAAACAGGGGCACGGGAGAGAAAACAGGGGCGCGGGAGAGAGAACAGGGGCGCGGGAGAGAGAACAGGGGCGCGGGAGAGAGAACAGGGGCGCGGGAGAGAGAACAGGGGCACGGGAGAGAGAACAGGGGCACGGGAGAGAGAACAGGGGCACGGGAGAGAGAACAGGGGCACGGGAGAGAGAACAGGGGCACGGGAGAGAGAACAGGGGCACGGUAGGCAUCUCUCUCAUUUCACACCGUCUCCUUAACGACGGACAUGUUUCAGUACGAUACAGUUAAUUUCAAACCGUUGACAGAAGCGCUGCGUCGUGGUCCUGAACACAGCCUACCAUCAUCAUCAUCAUCCUCAUCAUCAUCAUGGCACUAAAACCAGAGCAGCAGAGUCGUGGUCCUGAACAGAGCCGAGUCGUAGCAAGCAAAGCCCAGGGAUCACCGUCCGUUCUUAAAAACACUGACGUCGCCUUUUCGCGACGUAAACAAGAGUUUCUAUUUGACAACACUUCAGGCAGGUCCCGUUCCAGAUGCUUCCGGUUGGUUCCUAGUGAAUCCAUCCUUGUUCCACUGCGGUCCAGUCCUCCACCGGGUCAGUAACGGUCCAGUCCCCCCCGGGGUCGGUAACGGUCCAGUCCCCCCCGGGUCGGUAACGGUCCAGUCCCCCCCGGGUCGGUAACGGUCCAGUCAAUAACGGUCCAGUCAGUAACGGUCCAGUCCUCCACCGGGUCAGUAACGGUCCAGUCAAUAACGGUCCAGUCCUCCACCGGGUCGGUAACGGUCCAGUCAAUAACGGUCCAGUCCCCCCCGGGGUCGGUAACGGUCCAGUCCCCCCCGGGGUCGGUAACGGUCCAGUCAGUAACGGUCCAGUCAGUAACGGUCCAUCCCCCCAGGUCAGUAACGGUCCAGUCUCCCCCGGGUCAGUAACGGUCCAGUCUCCCCCGGGUCAGUAACGGGUCAGUAAUGGCACUUCUCAGGGUUGGUCCAACAGCCUGGGUCUGAAUCUUAACAGCUGUUAGCCUGCUGAACUGAAGCCAAGGCAUUAACUUGGGGGAGCUAACAAGUCUUCAGUAAACAGUCCUGGAAUUAUCCCAAAGCAGGAGAGGGGCUGGUGUAGUCAGUGGGCAGAGCUAAGGUACGGCAGCUCCACCCAUAAUGCACUGGGCUAAGGUCACAGAGGUCGUGACCACUUCUGACCCUGCCCACAUCAGGGGUUAAAGUUCA
rnacentral:lncRNA from 1 species